ACAUCGAUGUCUAGGGGUUCUGAGAGGAUUGUCCCCCACACUGGUACUGAGACACGGACCAGACUCCUACGGGAGGCAGCAGUGAGGAAUAUUGGUCAAUGGUCGAAAGACUGAACCAGCCAUGCCGCGUGCAGGAUGAAUGCGCUAUGCGUUGUAAACUGCUUUUCUACAGGAAGAAACCUACUUACGUGUAAGUAGUUGCCGGUACUGUAGGAAUAAGCGCCGGCUAACUCCGUGCCAGCAGCCGCGGUAAUACGGAGGGUGCGAGCGUUAUCCGGAUUUAUUGGGUUUAAAGGGUGCGUAGGCGGAAUAAUAAGUCAGUGGUGAAAUCCUGCGGCUCAACCGUAGAACUGCCAUUGAUACUGUUAUUCUUGAAUGUAGUUGAGGUAGGCGGAAUGUGUAAUGUAGCGGUGAAAUGCUUAGAUAUUACACAGAACACCGAUUGCGAAGGCAGCUUGCUAAACUAUGAUUGACGCUGAUGCACGAAAGCGUGGGGAGCGAACAGGAUUAGAUACCCUGGUAGUCCACGCUGUAAACGAUGAUCACUCGUUGUUUGCGAUAUAUUGUAAGCGACUGAGCGAAAGCAUUAAGUGAUCCACCUGGGGAGUACGUCGGCAACGAUGAAACUCAAAGGAAUUGACGGGGGCCCGCACAAGCGGAGGAACAUGUGGUUUAAUUCGAUGAUACGCGAGGAACCUUACCUGGGUUUAAAUGUAGGUUGCAUGAUCGGGAAACUGAUCUUUCCUUCGGGACUACUUACAAGGUGCUGCAUGGUUGUCGUCAGCUCGUGCCGUGAGGUGUCGGGUUAAGUCCCAUAACGAGCGCAACCCCUAUCGUUAGUUGCCAUCAGGUCACGCUGGGGACUCUAACGAGACUGCCGGUGUAAACCGAGAGGAAGGUGGGGAUGACGUCAAAUCAGCACGGCCCUUAUAUCCAGGGCUACACACGUGUUACAAUGGUCGAUACAAAGAGCAGCCACUUGGUGACAAGGCGCUAAUCUCUAAAGUCGAUCACAGUUCGGAUCGAAGUCUGCAACUCGACUUCGUGGAGUUGGAUUCGCUAGUAAUCGCGCAUCAGCCACGGCGCGGUGAAUACGUUCCCGGGCCUUGUACACACCGCCCGUCAAGCCAUGGAAGCUGGGGGUGCCUGGAGUCUGUAACCGCAAGGAGCGGCCUAAGGUAAAACUAGUAACUGGGGCUAAGUCGAAACAAGGUA
rnacentral:rRNA from 1 species